rnacentral:tRNA from 1 species
AUCAGGGCAGCAAAUAAUCGCGAUAAAUUUCAAGUUUAUGGAUGAAGAUUUAUUCUCUUGAUU